CGUCACGGCGUCACCGUAAUAAUAUAACGCCGCCUACGUACGUACGCGGUCGGAUAGGUUAGGUAGGCACCUACGACUAUAAUACGUCUGCUGUACAACAACAGUGCGGGACCGUGUGCGCGUAUAGAAGCGAAAAAAAAAAUGUAUAGAUAAAAAAAAGAAAAGAGCUCUGUGUGAUAUUUUUAGACAUAGGAACGAUGUUAUUAUUUUUCGCUGUGCCACCGCCGUCGCCGCCGUCGUGCACGGUUGACAUUGGAAUAACGUACGGAACGAAUGAUACAGUGCCGCG